AUGGAGUACCAGGGGCAGACCGGCCACGCCACCGACAAGGUGGAGGAGUACGGCCAGCCCGUGGCCGACCACGGCGGCGCCACCGGCGGGCCCACGGGGACGCACGGCGCCGCCGCCGCCGCGGGUGCCGGGCAGCUCCAGCCGACCAGGGACGACCACAAGACCGACGGCGUCCUGCGCCGCUCCGGCAGCUCCAGCUCCAGCUCGUCUGAGGACGACGGCGCUGGCGGGAGGAGGAAGAAAGGGAUGAAGGAGAAGAUCAAGGAGAAGCUCCCCGGCAGAGCCCACAAGGACGCCACCGGGCAGCAGCACACGCCGGCAGCCGGCGAGUACGCCGGCACCGGCACCGGCACGCACGGCGCGGAGGCCACCGGCGAGAAGAAGGGUGUCAUGGAGAAGAUCAAGGAGAAGCUUCCCGGCGGACAGCACUAG
rnacentral:rRNA from 1 species